CCCCGGCCACAUUAACAACUGGGGGAUCCUGAGGCGUUCCCCGCCAGGUUAGAGAUAUUCCCUCCCCUAGUCCUGGGGCUUCCCCGAGACCUAUCCCAGCUGGACGUGCCUGGACCAC